ensembl:lncRNA
CUAUUAAUCAACAAAAGAAAGCAUACGAUUUAAAUAACUGAAUUGCAAAAUUAAGAAAGCACAUCAACUUUGCGUAUUAAGGAUAUGUAGGAAAAAUAUUCAUAAAGCAUCUGUCAUCUGUUUCAAAGAGGAAUGCUUAAUUAGAAUACAGUGACCUCAAUUGGUCACCCAGCUUAAAUGGUUCAGGAUUGUGUCCUGACUAAAAGUUGCCAUGGCAACUAAAAGUCAAGUCAAACAGCUGCUCAGUCUGUUGCCUAACUUUGUUCACCUAGUUAAAAGUUUUCAUGCUAGAUAAUAUAUUUCCCACAUUUAUACUUAUUUUUUAGUUUCUAGGAAAAUAUGUAGAGGCAUUCUGGCUUUUUUCUUGGUACAAGUCAUAGUUCAUUUGUUAUUAUGGUUACAAAUAAGAAAUAUCCAAAACAACAAACAAACAAACGAAACCAGAUAAGAAACAUACCAGAUAUUUCUAAGUAAUUCUAGACAUCUGGGUGUGCUGAAAUACACUUCAAAUUUGAACGUUUCCUCCCGCAAUGUUUGGUCCGUGUGCAUUAAAAUCCAGUUAAGCAAAUCUUUAUCUCAAAACCUGCUAUGUGGAGAAUCUGACCUGAAAUGAACAUCCAGAUAUUUUUUCAUAAUUGGGGGAAUUCCAACAUGAGUGAGAGAUAAGACUUUACUUCCAAGAAUAGACAUUAUCACCCUUUACUUCCUGUCAGCUAGAGUGUGAGCUCAUGCCUCUGAUAUUUGAAGGAAUGACCUACAGGUUCAGGGUCAGAUUUACAGAGUUGAGACCCCAGUCGUGUGGUCACAAAGGACGCAUGGUGACAAUGCCAACCAGCAGUGAUCAGAGAGGGUAACUCCCAUGGCAUAUCUUUGACUAUGCUUCACUUCCUCUGGUUUCCAUCUACGCCUGGUCUAUUAUCCUACAAAUGGAGUUCACAGAUUUCCCAGACCUUUUUCUGAAAAUGUGGACACUGACAUGGAAUGCCCAAAAGUGGAAUGGAGCACUAACUGAGGGUUUUGGAGGACUUGGAAAAUCAAGAACCUACAGCUUCCAUUUAGUUUCCUCUCUCAAUGGAAGUAGCUUCUCCCUUGUCUCAAAUAAUUAUUCCUGCCUUUCCUGAGGACCCUGCAACUCUCUAAUCUGUAGAAGGUGCUUUGGGAGCUGGGUGUUAAAGUGCAGACAUGGCCAAGUCCAAGAACCACACCACAUACAAACAUUCCUGAAAAUGGCACAGAAAUGGCAUCAAGAAACCCUGAUCGCAAAAAUAUGAAUCUCUUAAGGGGGUAG